rnacentral:tRNA from 1 species
GAUGGAGCAGUCUGGUAGCUCGUCGGGCUCAUAACCCGAAGGUCGUAGGUUCAAAUCCUGCUCCCGCAA